UACAGGGGGGGCAAGCGUUGUUCGGAAUUACUGGGCGUAAAGGGCUCGUAGGCGGCCAACUAAGUCACACGUGAAAUCCCCAGGCUUAACCUGUGAACUGCGUGUGAUACUGGAUGGCUUGAAUUCGGGAGAGGGAUGCAGAAUUCCAGGUGUAGCGGUGAAAUGCGUAGAUAUCUGGAGGAACACCGGUGGCGAAGGCGGCAUCCUGGACCGGUAUUGACGCUGAGGAGCGAAAGCCAGGGGAGCAAACGGG
rnacentral:rRNA from 1 species